AUGCACGCUGGCGGCUUGCCUCAUACAUGCAAGUCGCGCGCACAGACGAGGAGCUUGCUCCUCUGACGUUAGCGGCGGCCGGGUGAGUAACACGUGGAUAACCUACCUAUAAGACUGGGAUAACUUCGGGAAACCGGAGCUAAUACCGGAUAAUAUAUUGAACCGCAUGGUUCAAUAGUGAAAGACGGUUUUGCUGUCACUUAUAGAUGGAUCCGCGCCGCAUUAGCUAGUUGGUAAGGUAACGGCUUACCAAGGCGACGAUGCGUAGCCGACCUGAGAGGGUGAUCGGCCACACUGGAACUGAGACACGGUCCAGACUCCUACGGGAGGCAGCAGUAGGGAAUCUUCCGCAAUGGGCGAAAGCCUGACGGAGCAACGCCGCGUGAGUGAUGAAGGUCUUCGGAUCGUAAAACUCUGUUAUUAGGGAAGAACAAAUGUGUAAGUAACUAUGCACGUCUUGACGGUACCUAAUCAGAAAGCCACGGCUAACUACGUG
rnacentral:rRNA from 1 species